GCCUGCUUAGCAUCAUUGUAACAGAAUACCAGAGUCUGUGUAACUUAUAAAGAAGCAUAUUUCUUACAGUGCAAGAGUCUGGGGAGUCCAGCAUUGAAGGCUCAGCAUCUGGUGAGGGUCUUCUUGCUAUAUCAUGCUUUGAAAAGUAGAUGCUCUCGUGGUGAAGGAUUAUGGUGAAGGCAGAGAAAGGAGAGUCAGACUCAUCUUUUUAUUAGGGACCCUGUUCACAGCUCACUUAACUGUGCUCUUACUAAGUCCAAUUGAUGUUUUCAUAAAGAGGGGCACCCUCAUGACCUAAUAAUCACCACUUAAGGUUCUACCUCUCAAUUCUGCAGGACUGGAGACUGUUUCCAACACUGGACUUAGUGAGGGAACAUUCAAACCACAGCACCAGUGAACAGUGAUUUCAACAGAGUUGGUGAGAUUCGGGCAGGGAUGGCAAAACAAGGCCCUUUGCACACACUCGCGAUCUUUAAGUCAUGGAUUGGGAGACCUGAUGGAAAGGAAGAGUUGGAAGUUGGAAAAGCCAGGUCACAAAGCAUGAAGAGCUGAGAAUCCAUGCAGGCGUGGGAAGCCUCUGGCAUUUUUACUAGACCAUCCAGGAGGCUACUGGAGAAGUCCAGGAUCUGCUGUUUUGAGUGUCUGCCUCAGCGAAGUCAUGCUUCCUUUUGGGGUAUUAUACUCGGUUGCCGGUUGCCAUGGAAGUGAGGGCUGGCUGAUUCACACAGGAGGGGGGUGGGGCCCACUAGCAAGCCCUCAAGCACACUGGAUGAUUUCAAUUACCUAAAUCCCUGCAGCUUCUCAGAAGACAUCUACGUGUUUUUUAUGACGUAUGAAUACCUUUGACUUUGAUUUAGAAAUCGAGAUGCAUUUUUAAAAAUCUGUGACCUGUAUGAGAACAGUCUAUUGAUAAAGCACCAAGAAUAAAUGGAACUUUGAAAGCAGGCCAGUCCAGCACAAAUUGGAAUGUCUCUGAAUUGGGAUUAAAAGAAAGAAGAAAAAACAAACAAACAAAAACUCCCCCAAAAUCCAACAAAACCAGGCAAGCUGAGGUCAUCCAGGUUCUCCAGAAAUGAAGAAAGCAGGCCUAGUGAGAGUCUGGUGGAUUCUAGUUAACAAAAAGCCUGCAGUGGAUAGCAAUCCCGAGGCAGGUCAUUAUUAGAUGCCCUUCUGUUUGCAAGUAUGGCGAAGUUCUUGUCCAGCAAGUAACUGUUGCCAAAGCCAAGAUUUGUUUCUGGUUUCCCUGCUGGGCUUUUAAGUGUUCAUCUGCCUUCUCAGGGUCACUCUGGUGAAUGUUGGGAGGACAGAGGGACCCACCUUAGGUUAGGAAGUCCAGAAGAAAGCAAGAACUUCGAUGGUGUUUCUAAGCAACACUUGCUCAACCCGCUCAACCACACCCCUGUAAUUAGGCCUGCCAUCCUGUCCAAAUUAGGGGCAGGGUUAAUAGCUGUGCUUCUCUGUGCUGGGGCUUCCUAAACAUUUGCAGCAGCUUGGGGCUCUUCCCCACCAUGUGUCCACAGGAGUGUCCAUCUACUGCCUUUACCUGUCCAUCUACUGCCUUUACAAACGCCCCCCCCUCCCCCUCUCUCUGGAGUCACAGGAGAAAUUGUAUCUCCAGCACUGUUUUUCUGCU
rnacentral:lncRNA from 1 species